rnacentral:rRNA from 1 species
GGGGGCCCGCACAAGCGGUGGAGCAUGUGGUUUAAUUCGACGCAACGCGCAGAACCUUACCAGCCCUUGACAUGUCCAGGACCGGUCGCAGAGACGUGACCUUCUCUUCGGAGCCUGGAACACAGGUGCUGCAUGGCUGUCGUCAGCUCGUGUCGUGAGAUGUUGGGUUAAGUCCCGCAACGAGCGCAACCCCCGUCCUUAGUUGCUACCAUUUAGUUGAGCACUCUAAGGAGACUGCCGGUGAUAAGCCGCGAGGAAGGUGGGGAUGACGUCAAGUCCUCAUGGCCCUUACGGGCUGGGCUACACACGUGCUACAAUGGCGGUGACAGUGGGAUGCGAAGACGCAAGUCCUAGCAAAUCUCAAAAAGCCGUCUCAGUUCGGAUUGGGCUCUGCAACUCGAGCCCAUGAAGUUGGAAUCGCUAGUAAUCGUGGAUCAGCACGCCACGGUGAAUACGUUCCCGGGCCUUGUACACACCGCCCGUCACACCAUGGGAGUUGGCUUUACCUGAAGACGGUGCGCUAACCAGCAAUGGAGGCAGCCGGCCACGGUAGGGUCAGCGACUGGGGUGAAGU